CGUGCGCAGACGCGGAACUGCGGGAGCCCGCGGCGCCGGGCCGGGCCGGGGCGGGAGAGCGGUGGGGCCUGCCCAGCCACAACCUGGCUCAGAUCUACAGCCCGACUUUUAAAUUCUGACUCUAGGAACACCGCCAGGGUGGGCCAUGGAGAUACAGAGGACAGGAGGUGGUGUUCUCGCCCUGACACAGCCAAGGGCCACCAGGUUUGUGCGUGAAGUGGCAGGAUCUAUAUACACAACCAGCUGACCCAGCUUGAUUUCCUGUUCUGAAAAGUGCCCUUUUCCCAGGUUGUGACUUUUUUUCCCAUUCUCAAGUCUGUCUUUACAGAGACUAAUGCAAAAAUUAAAGACAUCUGAACCUCCUGGUU
rnacentral:lncRNA from 1 species